AGAAAUCAUAAUGCCCAGAGUUUGCAAGUGGCGAGAAAGUGAGCAUUCUCAUACACAGAUGCAGCUAUCUCACUGUCUGUCUCACACUCACUGAGGGUGAUGUUUCAGGAGCCACUGGACAGAAUCUUCUGCGGCAAACCUGAGAAAGAAAACUGAAAUUACUGCUUUGAAGUGACGGGUUACUCAGAAAUACUGAAAUACAUAUUCUAUAAAAUGUAAACUUUUGAUUUUGACUCUAAUAAAAUGUUAAGCCUUUGAAUUAUUUGUUUAAUUAUCAUGAAACAUGUCAUUAUAUUUAUAAUGUAACUAUAAACAUCUAGUGUAACUAUGUAUGUCUGCUUAGCCAACUCCUUUCCUGACCUCCAGCCCCCAUUUGUCCAACAGCCCAAGACGUAUUAAUGUGAACAAGUCAUAGCAACCUGAAACAUGGCCAGUUUUGUCAUGUUAUUUAUUUAUUUAUUUUUGAGAUGGAGUCUCUCUCUGUCGCCCAGGCUGGAGCGCAGUGGCUCAAUCUUGGCUCACUGCAACCUCUGCUUUCCAGAUUCCAGCAAUUCUCCUGUCUCAGCCUCCCAAGUAGCUGGGAUUACAGGUGCCCGCCAUCACGCCCGGCUAAUUUUUGUAUUUUUAUUAGAGAUAGGAUUUCACCAUGUUGGCCAGGCUGGUCUCAAACUCCCGACCUCAGGUGAUC
rnacentral:lncRNA from 10 species